rnacentral:rRNA from 1 species
ACGGGAGGCAGCAGUGGGGAAUAUUGGGCAAUGGGCGCAAGCCUGACCCAGCGACGCCGCGUGAGGGAAGAAGGUCUUCGGAUUGUAAACCUCUUUCAGCAGGGAAGAAGCAAGUGACGGUACCUGCAGGAGAAGUCACGGCUAACUACGUGCCAGCAGCCGCGGUAAUACGUAGGUGGCGAGCGUUAUCCGGAAUUACUGGGUGUAAAGGGUGUGUAGGCGGAGAAGCAAGUCAGGCGUGAAAUUUAUGGGCUCAACUCAUAAACUGCGCUUGAAACUGUUUCCCUUGAGAGUGGGAGAGGUAAACGGAAUUCCUGGUGUAGUAGUGAAAUGCGUAGAUAUCAGGAGGAACACCGGUGGCGAAGGCGGUUUACUGGACCACAACUGACGCUGAGACACGAAAGCGUGGGGAGCAAACAGGAUUAGAUACCCUGGUA